rnacentral:misc_RNA from 1 species
UUUUGAGUCUUUCCCCAGGCCAAGUUAUAGAUUACCUUAAGAUAUGUAGAUGGUGUGCAUUAUCUUUUUUUAAUUAUGGCUUAGAAGACAUCUUGCAUUUGGUGGACUGGAUUCAAAUUCAAAUCACUUGCUGUUGGGUUGGUUCUUCACCAUCUAUACUUCCAUCAAUUAUUUGACAGAAUUGGAAAUCUACAAAUCUUUUCAGGGUCAAGGAACAAGAAUUGAACAUAUUUUAGACAAAUGCUUAAGCCGUUUUUUAGUAUUUUAAAACUAUCUUGUUUAAGUUCUUUAUCUAUGUUGAUUGUGUGUUCAGGAAUUGCAUCAAGAUCAAAAUAGGUAUCGGCUUGGGAGAGUCCUAUUCAACUGGAUGAAAUUUGCCAAACUAUAGAUAUAUUUUUUAUUGUUUGGUUUACUUAAGUGCCACUAGUUUGCAAGGAUUUAAUGGUUUCAUUUCUUUAUGUGGAGUUUUGGAUAAUCAUUUAUUGCUUAGGAGAUUGUUAGCAUCAUAUCUAUGAUUGAUAACUCUGUAGUUACUUCUCACAUUUUCCCCACUUCAAUUCCCUCCCAGAAAAGAUUACCAUAGUUAUUUCUAAAUCCUUCAAAUCAGCGUCGGUGAACGUAACUAGUAUAAUGGCACUGUGGGUUGUUUACUUCGCCUAUUAUACUGGAAUGCCCUCAAACAUCAAAUUUUUUAGGAAACACAUAAUUGAUUAUUACUUUUCUUUGCAAUAUCCUAAUUAUCUAUUGUUACUCUUAAAAAAUACA